rnacentral:rRNA from 1 species
CCUACGGGUGGCAGCAGUGAGGAAUAUUGGUCAAUGGCCGCGAGUCUGAACCAGCCAAGUAGCGUGAAGGAUGACUGCCCUACGGGUUGUAAACUUCUUUUAUAUGGGAAUAAAGCGAGUCACGUGUGCCUUCUUGUAUGUACCCUAUGAAUAAGGAUCGGCUAACUCCGUGCCAGCAGCCGCGGUAAUACGGAGGAUCCGAGCGUUAUCCGGAUUUAUUGGGUUUAAAGGGAGCGUAGGUGGAUUGUUAAGUCAGUUGUGAAAGUUUGCGGCUCAACCGUAAAAUUGCAGUUGAAACUGGCAGUCUUGAGUGCACGAGAGGUAUGCGGAAUGCGUGGUGUAGCGGUGAAAUGCAUAGAUAUCACGAAGAACUCCGAUUGCGAAGGCAGCAUACCGGCGCGCAACUGACGCUGAUGCACGAAAGCGUGGGUAUCGAACAGGAUUAGAUACCCGAGUAGUC